CAGCCGCCGCGGUAAUACGUAGGGUGCAAGCGUUAAUCGGAAUUACUGGGCGUAAAGCGUGCGUAGGUGGUCGUUUAAGUCUGUUGUGAAAGCCCUGGGCUCAACCUGGGAACUGCAGUGGAAACUGGACGACUAGAGUGUGGUAGAGGGUAGCGGAAUUCCUGGUGUAGCAGUGAAAUGCGUAGAGAUCAGGAGGAACAUCCAUGGCGAAGGCAGCUACCUGGACCAACACUGACACUGAGGCACGAAAGCGUGGGGAGCAAACAGGAUUAGAUACCCGAGUAGUCCCUGUCUCUUAUAC
rnacentral:rRNA from 1 species